rnacentral:rRNA from 1 species
UACGGAGGAUGCGAGCGUUAUCCGGAUUUAUUGGGUUUAAAGGGUGCGUAGGCGGACGCUUAAGUCAGUGGUCAAAUUGAGGGGCUCAACCCCUUCCCGCCAUUGAAACUGGCGAUCUUGAGUGGAAGAGAAGUAUGCGGAAUGCGUGGUGUAGCGGUGAAAUGCAUAGAUAUCACGCAGAACCCCGAUUGCGAAGGCAGCAUGCCGGCUUCCUACUGACGCUGAAGCACGAAAGCGUGGGGAUCGAACAGG